AUUGGACGCUGGCGGCAUGCCUUACACAUGCAAGUCGAACGGUAACAGGUCUUCGGAUGCUGACGAGUGGCGAACGGGUGAGUAAUACAUCGGAACGUGCCUAGUAGUGGGGGAUAACUACUCGAAAGAGUGGCUAAUACCGCAUGAGAUCUACGGAUGAAAGCAGGGGAUCGCAAGACCUUGUGCUACUGGAGCGGCCGAUGGCAGAUUAGGUAGUUGGUGGGAUAAAAGCUUACCAAGCCGACGAUCUGUAGCUGGCCUGAGAGGACGAUCAGCCACACUGGGACUGAGACACGGCCCAGACUCCUACGGGAGGCAGCAGUGGGGAAUUUUGGACAAUGGGCGCAAGCCUGAUCCAGCAAUGCCGCGUGCAGGAUGAAGGCCUUCGGGUUGCAAACUGCUUUUGUACGGAACGAAAAGCCCUGGGUUAAUACCCUGGGGUCAUGACGGUACCGUAAGAAUAAGCACCGGCUAACUACGUGCCAGCCGCCGCGGUAA
rnacentral:rRNA from 1 species